GGACUGGCGAUUGGGACGAAGUCGUAACAAGGUAGCCGUACCGGAAGGUGCGGCUGGAUCACCUCCUUU
rnacentral:rRNA from 1 species